UGAGUAACCUGCCUUCAGCUUUGGGAUAACCCUCGGAAACGGGGCUAAUACCGGGUAUUCAGCUUCUGCGGCAUCGUGGGGGUUGGAAAGUUUUUCGGCUGGGGAUGGGCUCGCGGCCUAUCAGCUUGUUGGUGGGGUAAUGGCCUACCAAGGCGGCGACGGGUAGCCGGCCUGAGAGGGUGACCGGCCACACUGGGACUGAGACACGGCCCAGACUCCUACGGGAGGCA
rnacentral:rRNA from 1 species